rnacentral:misc_RNA from 1 species
GAUGAUGAACGCAGCGAAAUGCGAUACGUAAUGUGAAUUGCAGAAUUCAGUGAAUCAUCGAGUCUUUGAACGCACAUUGCGCCCCCUGGUAUUCCGGGGGGCAUGCCUGUCCGAGCGUCAUUGCUGCCCUCAAGCACGGCUUGUGUGUUGGGCCUCCGUCCUCCUCCCGGGGGACGGGCCCGAAAGGCAGCGGCGGCACCGCGUCCGGUCCUCGAGCGUAUGGGGCUUCGUCACCCGCUCUUGUAGGCCCGGUCGGCGCUUGCCGACACAUCAAUCUUUUUUCCAGGUUGACCUCGGAUCAGGUAGGGAUACCCGCUGAACUUAAGCAUAUCAAUAAGCGGAGGA